UACGUAGGUGGCAAGCGUUGUCCGGAUUUACUGGGCGUAAAGAGCGCGCAGGCGGUCGUUCAAGUCGCGUGUGAAAGCCCCCGGCUCAACUGGGGAGGGUCACGCGAUACUGAUCGACUGGAAGGCAGGAGAGGGUAGUGGAAUUCCCGGUGUAGUUGUGAAAUGCGUAGAUAUCGGGAGGAACACCAGUGGCGAAGGCGACUACCUGGCCUGUUCUUGACGCUGAGGCGCGAAAGCUAGGGGAGCAAACGGG
rnacentral:rRNA from 1 species